rnacentral:rRNA from 1 species
UACGUAGGGGGCAAGCGUUGUCCGGAUUUAUUGGGCGUAAAGAGCGUGUAGGCGGCCAGGUAGGUCCGUUGUGAAAACUCGAGGCUCAACCUCGAGACGCCGAUGGAAACCAUCUGGCUAGAGUCCGGAAGAGGAGAGUGGAAUUCCCGGUGUAGCGGUGAAAUGCGCAGAUAUCGGGAAGAACACCCGUGGCUAAGGCGGCUCUCUAGGACGGUACUGACGCUGAGACGCGAAAGCGUGGGGAGCGAACAGG